GUGGGGAAUAUUGGACAAUGGGGGCAACCCUGAUCCAGCAAUGCCGCGUGUGUGAAGAAGGCCUUCGGGUUGUAAAGCACUUUUAUCCGGAACGAAACGCGCAGGACGAAUAAUCUUGCGAACUGACGGUACCGGAAGAAUAAGCACCGGCUAACUUCGUGCCAGCAGCCGCGGUAAUACGAAGGGUGCAAGCGUUACUCGGAAUUACUGGGCGUAAAGCGUGUGCAGGUGGUUUGUUAAGUCUGCUGUGAAAGCCCCGGGCUCAACCUGGGAAUGGCAGUGGAGACUGGCAAGCUAGAGUGCGGUAGAGGAUAGUGGAAUUCCCGGUGUAGCGGUGAAAUGCGUAGAGAUCGGGAGGAACACCAGUGGCGAAGGCGGCUAUCUGGACCAGCACUGACACUCAGACACGAAAGCGUGGGGAGCAAACAGGAUUAGAUACCCUUGUAGUCC
rnacentral:rRNA from 1 species